UAGGCGUUAUAUGUUCCGUAUUGUCAAUUGUGACGUACUAUUCAACUGACAGCAAUAUAGUGAUUAUUAGAAUAACCAAACCGCUCAUGUAGCGAGAACCGAAAGCCAGGGGAGGAGAGUGGGCGACUGACUGUACGUAGAAAUAUCUGCGCAAGCGUCUUUGAAAGACAUAAUUACAGUGUGGUGGACCGUUGUGAUGACACUGUAGACAUGUCACCUGUGCACCAGAUAGUCAAUAGCAGCUGUCCCUGUGGUGACACGGGCUGGAGAACAUCCUGCUGAGGCUGCAGACAGGUCUGAGGGACAACCAGACCUCACAGGACAAACACUCACAGCCAAGGUGAGCACUACAAUAGGCCAGGGUAACAGGACAGGAAGGUGAAUAUCUUAAGGGAGGGGAAAAAAGUGGGCGGAACCCUUUUUGGUGCUAGGCAGAACCCUUUGAAAAUGGUUCUACCUUGAACCCUCUAUGUAGGGUUCUUCAUAUAAGCCUCUGUAUAUGGUUCUAUGAAGGGUUUUACUGAGAACCAUUUGAUCUUUGGAGUGUUCUUCCUAGAACCAUCUCUGAACGUUUCCACCAGCCUUAUUAUCCUUUAACAUUUUAUUUCUUUGACAAUAUUUACAUGUAACAAGUGCAAUAAAUCCAACUACUAACAGAUUGGAUUCGUUUAGAAAAGUGUGUUCUUUGUGUAGCAUAAGAUGUAUCAACUAAUCAGUGUACAUGUAAGAAUAGAUUAAAACAAACCAUUCUGAAAGUCACCUUGCAAUAGAGCAUGCUGGUGAUAUGGUUCUAUGUAGAACCCUUUUUGCCUUUCAAAGAACCCUUUCUUCCAGAAAGUGUGCUUCAGAUCAAAACGGCUCAUUUUGCUAUUAUGCUAUUUUGCCAAGUCCUACUGUAUAAUUGUCAUGCCUUGUUACCAUGGUAAUUGGCUGUCUGGCACAAAUACAGGAGAUUUGUAUUCACACCCCUUGACCUUUUCCACAUUUUGUUGUUACAGCCUUAUUCGAAUAUUGAUUGAAUAGUUUUUUUCCCUCAUCAAUCUACACAAUGACAAAGCAAAAACUAUUUUUUUUAUAAAUUUGUGCAAAAAAUUGUGUUUACAUAAGUAUACAGACCCUUUACUUAGUAUUUUGUUGAAUCACCUUUGUCAGCGAUUACAGCCUCAAUCUUUCUUUUGUAUAACGCUACAAGCUUGGCACACCUGUAUUUGGGCAGUUUCUUGCAUCCUUCUCUGCAGAUCCUCACAAGCUGUCUGGUUGGAUGGGAAGUAUUGCUGCACAUCUAUUUUCAGGUCUCUCGGAGAUGUUUGAUUAGGUUCAAGUCCAGGCUCUGGCAGGUCCACUCAAGGACAUUGAGACUUUUCCUGAAGCCACUCCUGCGUUGUCUUGGCUGUGUGCAUAGGUCGUUGUUCUGUUGGAGGGUGAACCUUCGCCCAAGUUGGAGGUCAUGAGUGCUCUGGAGCAGGUUUUCAUCAACAAGCUUGUUUCUCGUUGUCUGAGUCCUUUAGAUGCCUUUUGGCAAACCCCAAGUGGGCUGUCAUGUCGUUCUUACUGAGGAGUGACUUUCGCCUGGCCACUCUACCAUAAAGGCCUGAUUAGUGGAGUGCUACAGAGAUGUUUGUCCUUCAGUAAUGCUUUCCCAUCUCCGCAGAGGGACUCUGAAGCUCUGCCAGUGACCAUCGGGUUCUUGGUCACCUCCCUAACCAAGGCCCCUCCCCCCGAUUCCGCAGUUUGGCACGGGUGGACAGCUCUAGUAAUAGUAUUGGUGGUUUAAAACAUCUUCCAUUUAAGAAUGCUGGAGGCCAUUGUGUUCUUGGGGAUCUUCAAAGCUGCAGACAUUAUUUGGUACCCUUCCCCAGAUCUGUGCCUCGACACAAUCCCGUCUCUGAGCUCUACAGACAACUCCUUCGACCUGAUUGCUUGGUUUUUGCUCUGACAUGCACUGUCAACUGUGGGACCUUAUAUAGACAGGUGUGUGCCUUUCCAAAUCAUGUUCAGUCAAUUACAUUUACCACAGGUGAACUCCAAUCAGGUUGUAGAAACAUCUCGUGGAUGAUCAAUGGAAUAGGAUAUACCUGAGCUAAAUUGAGGAUCAUAACAAAGGGUCUGAAUACUUAUAUAAAUACUUAAUCUGUUUAAUUUUUUUAUACAUUAGAAAAAAAAUAUGAUCCUGUUUUUGCUUUGUCAUUAUGGGGUAGUGUUUGUGUGGAUUAUUUUCUCUCAAUUUAAUCAAUUUUAGAACAAGGCUGUACCAUAACAAUGUGGGUAAGGGGUCUGAAUACUUUCUAACUGCACAGUGUAUAUUAAUGUAAUGAAAUUGUAUCGGUCACAUACACAUAUAUAGCAGAUUUUGUUGCAAAAUGCUUGUGUUCCUAGCUCCAACAGUGCAGUAGUAUCUAAAAAUGAUUCACAACGAUGCACAAUCUAAAAAUAGAAGAAUGGCAUUAAGAAUAUAUAAAUAUUAGAUCGAGAAAUGUUGGCGUGGCAUCGACUAAAAUUCAUUAGAAUAGAAUACAGUAUAUACAUGAGAUGAGUAAAGCAGUAUGUAAACAUUAUUCAAGUGACAAGUGAUUAUAUGUAUAUAGGGGGUGUUCCCUUUAUUCCAUACAUCCUGCAUGUUGAUUCAUGGCCUUGGAAAUGUAAAUACUAUAAUAAUGUUUGGCUUUUAAAUUCUUUCUGUUCUGAGGCCUAAUGGAAUGGAUGAACAGCCAUGUAAAUGUCAAUUAUUAUUAAAUGCCUUAUUCUUAUCAUGUCUUUCCAAAUCCAUUUUGAUUACAAUAUCCCUGAGAUGAAAGUUGGAUAAUGUUAUGGUCCUUAUGGCAAUGUAACUUGCACUUUGUUUUCAGGUUUGAAUGACAGUGUAUUCCCCUAAACUUAUUUCAAUAAAGUCGUUACUUGUUUAUAUGUAA